AAAAAUAAAUAAUUUAAAAAUAAAAAAAAUAAUUUAAAAAAAAUAAUUUUAAUAAAAACCUUGAUAGUCAACCUAUAGAACUCCGAAAAUACUUCCUCAAUUGUUAUUCUAAUAGACUAGCUACUAAUUUAAUUGUUGGGCUUGGAGGAAACCACUCUUCUAAAGGAUAUCAAGGAAGGCACCUGUGCUAUGUAUUAGCUAGGCAAAUGGUUGAAGUGAGGCAAGGGGCUGAAGGGAUCGAUAUUGCACCACUCACUGACCCCCUGGCCCUAUUAUGAGGGUGUUUUGUGACAGUUCAACCCUCUGUGAGCGCCCAACUAAACCAGAGUCGAGUAUAAACACCAGAUCGGAGCACUUGUUGACUGAACUGAUCCAUAAUAAUUAUUGCCAGGAUUGCAGAGCCCCUAGAGAAGCUUGUUAUAGCAGUGGACGAAGCUAAUUUAAGAGCCGACUAUCCUCCGAUCAUCAAUCAUGUCCAUUAUAGAGCAAGGUCGAUGGAUGGCAAGGUCCUCAUGUGGGCAAGCAGCGUUAACCCCUACAGCUGUGGACCUGAAUCUAACAUUACAACAUGAACUAUUUUCACUUACUUUGAACUUUCGCAUUAUUAUGUAAAACAAAAAUAAAAAAUGCUAGCAAAAACUUUUGUGGGUUCUAUAAUUAU